rnacentral:rRNA from 1 species
GAUGAACGCUAGCGGGAGGCUUAAUACAUGCAAGUCGAACGGUAACAGGUCGAAACCUAGUUCUGACGCUGACGAGUGGCGCACGGGUGAGUAACGCGUACACAACAUACCUCUAAGUCUGGGAUAGCCCUGGGAAACUGGGAUUAAUACCGGAUGUGAUGUAGCAUUCGCAUGGAUGUUGCAUUAAAGCUCCGGCGCUUAGAGAUUGGUGUGCGUUAGAUUAGCUAGUUGGUAAGGUAACGGCUUACCAAGGCGAUGAUCUAUAGGGGGCGUGAGAGCGUGAUCCCCCACACGGGUACUGAGACACGGACCCGACUCCUACGGGAGGCAGCAGUAAGGAAUAUUGGACAAUGGGCGAAAGCCUGAUCCAGCUAUCCCGCGUGCAGGAUGACGGCCCUCUGGGUUGUAAACUGCUUUUAUAUAAGAAGAAACGCUUUGUUUUAAUGGAGCCUGACGGUACUAUAUGAAUAAGCACCGGCUAAUUCCGUGCCAGCAGCCGCGGUAAUACGGAAGGUGCAAGCGUUAUCCGGAAUCACUGGGUUUAAAGGGUGCGUAGGCUGUUUGAUAAGUCAGAGGUGAAAUGUCUGGGCUCAACCGAGGCACUGCCUUUGAUACUGUCAGACUGGAAUCAAGUUAAGGUAGGCGGAAUGUGACAUGUAGCGGUGAAAUGCAUAGAUAUGUCAUAGAACACCAAUUGCGUAGGCAGCUUACUGGACUUGUAUUGACGCUGAGGCACGAAAGCGUGGGGAGCGAACAGGAUUAGAUACCCUGGUAGUCCACGCCCUAAACGAUGCUUACUC